CGACACUUUUAGUGGCAACAGAGCCCUUUAGCGGCGACCUGGGACCAGGAUCCGUGUGUACAUCGAGUUAUUAAAUCUGGCCGUCAAACUGAAAUAGAUCCAAUGGCUUAGCUUUUAUUGUACACUAAAAAAAUAAGCGAGACAUUUUCCCUCCCAUAUCUUUUCCCUCUUUCACCUGACUUUACCUUUUUCACUUCUCAAUACUCAUCCACACGCCCUCAAUCUCUUUCCCCCUUUCACCUUCUUUUCACAUCAGAAUCACGCGAACAACCGGCUCCGAAUUGAACUCCGGCCACCGUUGAAGACCACUGGAACAACCUGCUCGGAUUUGAACCCCAGCCACCGUCGAACAAGCCCUAACCACGUCUGCUCGGGACAAAAAACCCCUAAUCACCAUCUCGAAAUCGGUACGCUCGCAACUGGAUAUGGGUUUUACUCGAGGGCCGAUGACUACUUCUACAAUAAUGCAGGUAUUGAAUGGGAUAUGGGUGCUGUAGCUUGUAGAGAUGGCUUACGAGUGAGUAGAAAACAGUAUCGUAACUCGUCCGGCCCGUUUAAAUAGGUGGCAAACUUCUGUGUUUAAUGCCUUACUCGAAGCAGGAGCUGUUCCUAAUAAUGGGUUCACCUUUGACCACGUUUGAUGAACCAAGGUAAGCCGGACCUCUGAUUUUGUUUAUAUCUUUCUUUUCCAACGUGUUGGUUUUUCGGAAACCGAAGAAAGUUUAUGAUGGUCUAUGGCUGUAUAUGAUGAGCGGGUCGGGUCAGGCAGGGUAACAGGCUAACGGGUCAUAACGAAAUCAGUCAUUUAAAGAAAAUAAUGCAUUUACUUUAACAAUUGAGUAAAAAAUAGUUCAAUUUAGUUUUGGAUGGAAACUGUAUAUGAUUUAUUACUGUCAAUUACAAAUCAAUGAAAAAAAUUAAUGAUUUAGAUGCAUAACGGCUGCGAACGGUCCAUAAACGCAGCGGUUUAACGGCUGCAAACGCAGCGGUUAUCAGCUACGUUUACGGACAGUUCGCAGAUGUUAAACGACUGUGUUUAUGGACGUAUAACGGCUGCGAACAGGCCGUAAACACAACAGUUAACCGCUGCGUUUGCAGCCGAAACUUUAGUGUACUCGUAUCCUCCUUUUAUUCUUUUGCAGGUAAUCUAUAUCUGGGUACACUCAAUGAAGAGAGGCCAGAAACUACCAUCUUCCAACAAGUUAAGUUGCGGCGGGUGCUUUUCGAUACAUAACAGAACUACUGGGUUCAACUUCUUUUAGGGUUUCUUUCUCCGAUGGAAAAAAGAUCCAGAUGAAGAUGGAGCGGUGGAGAUACCAUCGACUUAGAUUUACCUUACCACCGUCGAGCCAGGAAUCCAGUGUUAUUUGCCCAGAGUAUGUUACUCAUGGAAGAAGCUGUUACUUGAUGUUUCCGAGGAAGGGGCCACAGGUUGUCUUACUUAUGAAUGGAAGACUCUAAAUCUGCUCAAAGACAAGUUGGUGAAACAGCAUUGAAUGAUACCCGUUCUCGAUCACAUCAGAUAAUAAGACUGACGAUAGAGAGCACAGUUCGGGAUACUUCAGACCGCGUGAGGUCCAUUGUUUCAAGCCUGGUAUAUUUUGAUAUUUACUUGAAGCAUAUAUGAUACUCAAUGUUGAAUCGUACGUUUGCGAAAUUUGAUCAGCGUUUGUGAAGGAAUUCAUAUCAGCACCACCGCUACUCCCACCACAGACGCUGCAACGUCGUCCGGCGCCCUACAUUCAAGCGACACACCCGCAACCGCCGUCCAACGUUGGGCCUUUGUUAUCUCACAACGCUACCAACACCUGCUGGAGAAGUCAACUCCAUUCUUGCUCUACCGUUGGAUCGUCUUCUGCGUGAUCUCGAUCAUCUACACUGCGCGCGUGCUCUACUUGCAAGGGUUUUAUGUGGUUUGUACGCGGUUGGGAUUUAUAUUCUUAUGCGAUUGGGAUUUAUAUUCUUAAUCUCCUCAUAGGGUUUUUGUCUCCUCGGGUUGAUCCCGAGUUUCAAGACCUAUCUGAUGGCCCGGUUCUUCCUAAUCGGAGCUCCGAUGAGUUUUGCCCCUUUGUUCGUCGCCAUCCCCAGUUUAAGUUUUGCUGUAAAGCAAGCUAAACAUUGUUGUCUGAAAGGAAGCAUGCUUACUUCAGUCUCUAUAAUAAGUCUUUCAUAUUCUUAAUAAGUCUUAUCUCAACCUUUUCAGAAACCAACUCAUCUGUAAAGCAAGCUAAAAACUGUUGUCUGAAAGGGAGCAUGCUUGCUUCAGUCUCUAUAAAUACGACAUCAAGCUCCACACUCUACAAACACUCAACUACACUCAACUAAGACGAAUUAAACUUUCAAACUAAUUCGGCUAAGUUGACUGUCCCGGGUGGAGCAAGUGUGGCUUGCAGCACUGCAAAAGCAAUCGAGUGGGACGCUUCUUGGUCAAACAAUCUUGACCCGUCGGGAAGGGCUGCACUCGGGGUCCAUAAUGCUGCAUACAAGAACUCGGGCUCGAUUAGUUCGGCAAACUUAGCAACAAGCAUCGUUGAAAACGUGCUGCGAAUGAUGGUAAUUACGGGUCCUGAGUUCGUGAUUCGGAGUUAACGGUUUAUGGUUAAUAAAUUAUAUGAGUCGCAACGUGUUUUUAUUAUGUGUUGGUUGUAGUUUGUGUGUGAUAGCAACUUGAUGUAUAACUUGGUUUCUUGGAUAAUGUUGUUUUUCCAGUUGGUUAUGUGCAUUAUAAUCUGCAAAUAAAUAAAUAAUGUUGUGAAGGAUUAUA